ACAAGGCAAGAACUUGGAGAGGUGAGAGGAAAUAAAAGAAAUGGUUUCACCCCUUGCUCUGAGGUGCUGGUGGGAAGAGAAUGUGAAGCCUCCUGCAGGAACAUGGAAGAUGGGUCCUGCGACAAGGAGGGAGAAAGUCCACUAAAAGAAAUAAGGACUCCUUGGAGAAUUGACUGAUUCCUGCUCACUACAAGUAGAAAGAAUCCCUCUAACCUCUGAAUCCUCAUGGUGCUGUACAUUCAUUUAGUGGAAAUAACAGUACCCUGCUCUAUGCCAAGGCUAUCAGGGUUAUCUCUGUCAACACCAGUGAUUUUAGAGAGAAUGACAAAUAUAGAAGAUGUGGAAGACAAGUACUGGACAUGUCCUGAUCAAGACAAAUAUUGAAAGGAACACAGAUGGGAAAAAAUUGAUCCUAACUGGAAGCUAUAUGGCUGCCAUGAAAAUUAAAUCCUGGUGAGUUUCUCAAUAUGUGAACUAUUGUACUCUUACAGAGAAAUCUAGGCACAGGCUAGGACUGAGAUUCAGGACAGAAAAAAUGACCCAUAAUAGUUUAAAACCAUGAAACAGACAGUGAUGGAUAAUUCAUCUAAUAAUCCAAUUCGCCAAGUGUUACAUACUUAAGUUCUAAGUAAAGGAACCACUGAACUAGAAUGGCAGUUAGAGGAAAUCCAAAAUUCUGAAAGUAGUAGGGGCCAAAAGGAAUUAAGGUCACCUGUCAAAAGGAAUGAUACUAAGAGUAAUGCUAGGAAUCUAGACUCACAUGAAUCCAGUGAUCACAAAACACAUCCUACUGGUAACAGAGAAAUACACCUAAAGAAUAAAUGUGGUCGGUUCUAUAAAAAUGCA
rnacentral:lncRNA from 1 species